rnacentral:rRNA from 1 species
GACGAACGCUGGCGGCGUGCUUAACACAUGCAAGUCGAACGGAAAGGCCCUGCUUUUGUGGGGUGCUCGAGUGGCGAACGGGUGAGUAACACGUGAGUAACCUGCCCUUGACUUUGGGAUAACUUCAGGAAACUGGGGCUAAUACCGGAUAGGAGCUCCUGCUGCAUGGUGGGGGUUGGAAAGUUUCGGCGGUUGGGGAUGGACUCGCGGCUUAUCAGCUUGUUGGUGGGGUAGUGGCUUACCAAGGCUUUGACGGGUAGCCGGCCUGAGAGGGUGAUCGGCCACAUUGGGACUGAGUAACGGCCCAGACUCCUACGGGAGGCAGCAGUGGGGAAUAUUGCACAAUGGGCGGAAGCCUGAUGCAGCAACGCCGCGUGCGGGAGGACGGCCUUCGGGUUGUAAACUGCUUUCGCCUGUGACGAAGCGUGAGGGACGGUAAUGGGUAAAGAAGCACCGGCGAAUUACGG